rnacentral:rRNA from 1 species
GGAAUCUUCCGCAAUGGGCGAAAGCCUGACGGAGCAACGCCGCGUGAGUGAAGAAGGCCUUCGGGCCGUAAAGCUCUGUUGUCGGGGACGAGUGCCCGGGUUGGAAGCCCGGGAGGGACGGUACCUGACGAGGAAGCCGCGGCUAACUACGUGCCAGCAGCCGCGGUAAUACGUAGGCGGCAAGCGUUGUCCGGAAUUAUUGGGCGUAAAGGGAGCGCAGGCGGGCGUGCAAGUCUAUCCUGAAAAUUCGGGGCUCAGCCCCGUCGUGGGAUAGAAACUGCAGGUCUUGAGGGCAGGAGAUGGAAGCGGAAUUCCCGGUGUAGCGGUGAAAUGCGUCGAUAUCGGGAAGAACACCAGUGGCGAAGGCGGCUUUCUGGACUGUGCCUGACGCUGAGGCUCGAAAGCCAGGGGAGCGAACG